rnacentral:rRNA from 1 species
CCUACGGGAGGCAGCAGUGAGGAAUAUUGGUCAAUGGCCGAGAGGCUGAACCAGCCAAGUCGCGUGAGUGAAGAAUGUCCUAUGGAUUGUAAACCUCUUUUGUCAGGGAGCAAAGUCACCCACGUGUGGGUGUUGGAGAGUACCUGAAGAAAAAGCAUCGGCUAACCCCGGUCCAGCAGCCGCGGUAAUACGGGGGAUGCGAGCGUUAUCCGGAUCUAGUGGGUUUAAGGGGUGCGGGGGGGGGUUAUAACGUCAGCGGUAAAAUCGUGGAGCUAAACUCCAUCCAGCCGUGGAAACUGAUGAUCUGGAGUGGGCGAGAAGUAUGCGGAAUGCGUGGUGUAGCGGUGAAAUGCGUAGAUAUCACGAAGAACUCCGGUUGCGAAGGCGGCAGACCGGCGCCCGGCUGACGCUGAGGCACGAAAGCGUGGGUAUCGAACAGGAUUAGAUACCCGUGUAGUC